rnacentral:misc_RNA from 1 species
ACUCACAAAUAUUGAUGUUCGAACAUAAUUAUGGCCGAACUAAAAUGGUGGAUGAUGCGAGUGAUCGCCUGCGAAGAUUGCCAAUUGCAACUCUAUGACCUUGGCCCCAGUAAAACCUGAACCUUGGGUCUUUGAGUCUUAGCAAACUCACUAACUUAUUUUACGUGCAGGUAUGGCUGGGGGCAAAUCCGUUAAGGAGAGUCACAAGCGGAAAAGGGAGCUCGCCCGAAAAGUGUUA